GACGAACGCUGGCGGCGUGCUUAACACAUGCAAGUCGUACGGUAAGGCCCUUUCGGGGGUCCACGAGUGGCGAACGGGUGCGUAACACGUGAGUAACCUGCCCACAACUUUGGGAUAACGCUAACAAACUGGUGCUAAUACUGGAUAUGUGCUCCUGCUGCAUGGUGGGGGUUGGAAAGCUCCGGCGGUUUUGGAUGUACUCGCGGCCUAUCAGCUUGUUGGUGGGGUAGUGGCCUACCAAGACGGCGACGGGUAGCCGGCCUGAGAGGGUGACCUGCGACAUUGGGACUGAGAGACGGCACAGACUGCGACGGGAGGCAGCAGUGGGGAAUAUUGAACAAGGGGCGCAAGCCUGAUGCAGAAACGCCGCGGGCGGGAUGACGGUCUUAGGGUUGUAAAACGCUUUCAGCAGGGACGAAGCUUUUUGUGACGGUACCUGCAGAAUAAGCAACGGCUAACUACGUG
rnacentral:rRNA from 1 species